UGUUCUGCACUGUCCUCUUUUCCACAGAGAUUCUGGAGACAGACGCUGCCAUCAGGUGAUCUACAGGUGUGGAGUUGUAGCCCCAGAGGUUUUGGAGGAGAGCGUACUGGACUCACAGGGGAAGGUGGACAGGAAACUGGCGUUCGGACCUGCCUCCUGACAGAAGAUGAAGGCCUGAAACAGGGCUUGUCCCAGAAUCUGUGUAGCUUCUGUAGUCCACACUCUCACCUGUGCAGACUAGUCUCUGCGGAAUCUGGGAACCAAGAUGGCUCCCCCAGGUGCUGUGGCAAAGCCUUCCUGGGUGGGGCAGACACCUAUCCUCUGGCAGCAUGCUGCUUUCACCUGAUGGUAUGAUACUACUGUGGAUUUCAUAAUCAGAGAUGCAUAAAAGCUAAUAGGAAGCAAAGUAGAUAAAAGGACCAUGUGUUCGCUGUAGCUUCUGACAAGGCACAAGCUACCACUUCCACACAACGACACAUCAUCCUAAUGACUGGAAAACAAGACAGCAUCUGACUACAACUGCCCGAGGAACCCUGACUGAGGGCAUGCAGCUGAGAACAGUCUCACUGUGAGCUAGAGAAGCACAGGAAAUGAUCACUGCUGUACAGCGCUGAGAUCUGAGUGAUUUGCUUCACAGCAAUAAAAAGUAAAUUGAUUUGGAGAUUCAGAAAUAGCAGAAGAUGUGCAGUCCCAGUGCAGAUGUUUACAGGCUGUGAUGAUGGGUGAGUUAACAGCUUGCUCCAGAGAAUAGGGUUAAUGGUGGACAUGGAAGUAAGAGGAGAAAAUGAAACACUGCUUUGCAAUCCCUUUGUAAUCUUCAGAAGUGUAAGCAAUAGCAUUGUGAUUUGAUCAAGGUUGCACAGUUGGGUCUCACAGUGCCCAAACUAGGGUUUGAGGCUUUUCAUUAUGAGAUUUUGUUCAGAUUCCUCCCUUGUUCUUCCUGAGCAGCUACUGAAAACCUGAGUUUACUCUAGCUAUUGGGACAAUUCAAAAUGAUAGUGGUUAUUAAAGUAACAACAAAUACUGAAAAUAUGCUGUUGAUAAUGGGUAUAUUUUCACAACCCAUGCCCUGUGCAUGCACAUACUCCCAUCCUGUGUUAUUCUGAAUUUGAGGAUAGAUCACUAUUAAGGUCCUGGAAAACACCAGGAACUGUGCUGAGUUAUCCAUAUGUAUGACCACAUUUUUCUCCUAGGGCAGAAGAGAACCCAAGGGUUCUUUUUGACUUUCUCAGCAUCCUGCUCCUCAGCAUGCCUGUUUUUCUGUGAUUAGCCACUUUUUAUUCAUUGUUUCUGGAUGUGUGCAUAAUGAAAAUUUUCAUCAAAAGUCUGUAAAGUACACCUUGCAUUGUCCAACACUAGCCAAGGGGUUGGGUACAUCAGAUUCUUCUUAAUGGAAUUGACCUGAGUACAGCUUCAUGCAUAAGGCAGUUACUAGGAUAUUAGCACCUAACAGUUGUGUCUUAGAACUUCCAUCUUCUGCCUCUGGGUUAAUAAUUCAUGUGAGAGGUUCCAGCUUACGAAGAGUGACACAAUUCAUGGGCAGGUAGGACUGUGCUCUGUAACAAAUCUAGCAGAAAGCAAGCUAGUAAGCAAUGUCUUCCCAUUGUCUUUUCUUCCAUUCCUGUUUCUGGCUUUCUUACCCAGACUUCCCUCAGUGAUGUUACAUGAAAGUAUAAGGUAAAGCAAACCUCUUCCUUCUCAAAUUGCUUUUGUCUGCUAAUAUUUGUUAUCACAUUUAAAAAUCUGUCUCAUCAAGUAUUAUGCAGAAUCAACAAAGUCUAUUUUCUUACAGGAUUUCUUAAUUUAAUCUCAUAAAUCUCUAGUGAAUAUUGUAGAUAACUAUGUUUUAGUACAAGAAUUGGAUUCAAUAGGAAGUCUUCAUAGAAGGCUUAAUCUUUAUAGCCAUUUAUUACCAAAGUUCAGGCCUAUGUAGUGAAUGGGUAGUUGGCAGACAUUCACUCUGUAAGACAAAUGCUUCAUGAUUCAUUUAGGGACCUAGAAAUAUUAUGUGAUAAUGUAUAAAUAUCAUCCAAAAGGCUUUCUGCCCUAUAUUUUUAAAAUACAGAAGUUAUAUUUGAAGUAGUCCUGGCCCUAGUUCUAUAGGGCUUGGCUAUGUAAUAUGUUUAUGGAAGAAACGUUUAGUUCUGGAAAAGGUAAAUACUUGUAUAUAAUUUUGCAGCCCUGGAGUCUCCCAACUCCAUUUCUUCCUUUAAUUUAAUUGAUCACUUGUAUAUGUCUUCCCUGCUGUGUUAGAAAAACAGGGGCUGGAUAUCCCAGGAGUCAGAAUGUAUAUAAGAUAAUGCACCUAAACAGCAGGCACAUUUACCAGAUGCUCUCAAAUUUUGGUCCAAAAUGAGUAUUUGGGAAUAGAUUUAUUGUGAAUGUUUAAUUAGCGAUUUUCCUUAAAUUUGGACUAAGUUGUUUUUAAGACUUUUUUCUUUGUAAGCGUCAUAAAUGCUAAUCAACCUGUUAAGUUAUUUUUUCUUACUGCAUGUUACAUUGAAAUAAAAACAGAGUAAAAUGGAAAAAA
rnacentral:lncRNA from 1 species